rnacentral:lncRNA from 1 species
CUUGGUUUCCCAGGGUUGGUGGAAAUAACCUGGACCUUGCAUUUCUCUUUCGUGAUUCUCAGGGGACUUGAUGAGACUGACGCAACAACUAAAAACAGAGGUCUGCUGGAUACCUUAGUCUGGACCUUUAUGUUGUCCUAUGGGCAGAAAAUUAUUAGCAGAGGUAUGUGGAUCUUCUAAGUGCAGGUCUGUCUUCCACUACAGUCUUCUCUACAGGAUGGCUUAUAAUUCUGAAAGAAGACACACAGAUGACCAACAGACACAUGAAAAGAUGCUCAACAUCACUCAUCGUCAGGGAAAUGCAAAUCAAAACCACAAUGAAAUAUCGCCUUACAUCUAUCAGAAUGGCUAAAAUAAAAAAUGACAAGAAGUAACACGUGUUGGUGAGGAUGUAGAGAAAAAGAACCUUUCGUGCACUGUUGAUGGGAAUGUAAAUUGGUAUAAUCACCAUGGAAAACAAUAUGGAGAUUCCUUUAAAAAAGUAAAAAUAGGAAUACCAUAUGAUUCUAAUAAUUCCACUGCUGGGUAUUUACCUAAAGAAAAUGAAAACACUAAUUCAAAAAGAUAUAUGCACCCCUGUGUUUAUUGCAGCCGUAUUUACAGUACCCAAAAAAUGGAAGCAACCUAAGUAUCCAUCAGGAGAUUAAUGGGUAAAGAAAAUGUAUAUAUACACAAUGGAAUAUUAUACCAUGAUUAAAAAAAAAGUGAGAUCUUGCCAUUUGUGACAACAUUGAUAGAUCUAGAAGGUAUCAUGCUAAGUGAAAUAAGUCAGACUGAGAAAGACAAAUACAAUACGAUUUCACUCAUAUGUAGAGUCUAAAAAACAAAACAAAUGAAGAAACAGACAAACAAGAAGCAGAACCAGACCUAUAAAUACAGAGAACAACCUGAUGGUUGCAAGAGGGAUGGGGAUGGGUGAAGGAAGGAGGAACAGACUUCCAGUUACAGAAUUAAUAAAUCGUGGGAGUAGAAGGUACAGAAUAAGGAAUAUAGUCAAUGGUAUUGUAAUAGUG